UGAGUGCACAGUCAAUCGUGCAGGGUGGAAUGUGCAGAGUGUCCAAUAGAAGGGCAGCAGCUUGACAGUGGCUCUGGGGUUAGUGGGGUUCUUAGGGAUGGAGGACUAAAUAAAGCAGAAGGCAGCAUAGGAUCACAUUCACACAGAGACUGGACAAGGGAAAGUGCUACCUGCCUGGUGAUGAAUGUAAGGUCAAAGUGUGUCCAGCAGGGAAGGACCACACACUGAUGGAGUAAUAAAGGAAGAAGCAGAAGAGGAACAGAUAUAAGGAGAGUCUGUGAGAGACAGCAUAAAAUCAACAAUCAUACAAGAGGACAAGAACAAAAGCUGAAAGACAUGAGGAGCUGCCGUUGACCUCUCUCAGUUCAUCACCGACAUGCACCAGACCUGCGGAUAUGGAGGACUACCUGAUUUACAGAUUCUCUACCACAUGUUCAAACCAUACCUGCUGUGUUUGAGCCAUACUACACUUUAUAGGCAUAGUUUGAUGUAUUUUUAAUGACCAAAAAGAUCAGUACCACCAUACACACACACACACACACUAUAUUCCCAUGGCAACAGCUGUGGUCAGGUGGUUAGUGAGUCUGUUUGAUUCCCUUGAUUGAGUCUCUGGAGACUCUCUUUGACCACACAGAUGGGCCAUGUGUCACUGCAGCAGACAUGCAGCCUAGUGCUCAUCACAGAGGUAAAAAUAAUCAUAUCUAGCACACUCAGUAGAGGUGCAGGGAUAUUCAGACACUUCAGUGGGUUUAGAGAUGAACAGAACCUUUGAAGACUGCACUGGUUUUCCACUGGUAUACUCAAUGGUAAUUAAAAAAAAGAUUUUCAGGUGUAUAUUUGGAGCAUGGAGUAAACCGAGACCGCAAGAUUGAAGACAAAUUCUUUGAAGUGUCACUCACCACUCCUGUCUGCAGCCCCUCCUUUCAUGAUCCGAGCCACAAUCACGGCCCCUGUGGAAUCAUCCCGCCGAAUAGUGGCACCCUGAGAGACAGAGAGAGAGACAAACAGACAGUUCAACAACCUAUACAUUUAUGAUGGAUCAAAAUUUGUCUGAUGGAUCAAAAUGCUGAUGGACCAAAUUGUCGUGUAUACUGAACUUUUGUUUAAAUUUAACUUGAAAACUGAAAACCUAACAAUAAAAUCUAUUCAAAAUAUUAUCAGAUAAUAUAAUAAUAUAUCAAUAAUACUCAAAUAACAGUAUAUGUGUCUUUAUAUUUUGGGAGUCACUGUAUUUGUGCAACUGGCAUUGUUUAUUUCUUUUACCAGCGG